rnacentral:misc_RNA from 1 species
AAGUCAUAACAAGGUUUCCGUAGGUGAACCUGCGGAAGGAUCAUUAAAAAAUGAGGUAUUUUAUACCUCUUGUAUUUAAAACCCAUCUCUUUAAAAUAUAAUUUUUUUUUUAAAAAAAAAACUUUCAACAAUGGAUCUCUUGGCUCUCA